GAGGGAGGGAGGGAAGGAAAGUGGUGGCCCUGGGCACAGUGGAGGGGACUAGCAGCAGUAGCAGCUACUUUAUCUAGUUAAGGUUAUAAAGGAAGCAGGGCAGAGAUGGUUGUAACUUCCAUUUUUCAACAAGGUUUGAGAGAUACCUGACAUUUUUCCAUGUGCACUUCUGAUUAUCAGUGUUUGUACAACCACUUCAGUCUUCACUUCACUCUGACUCGUCAGAUAUAAUUCACGUGUGAAAAAUACUCGCCAUUUUUUCUUCCAAUUUGUGUGUGUGUUUUUAAUAAGUUAUUUUUGUUUAUGUAUCAGACUGUGAUUUAUUUGUACAUGUAAGUAGCCAAGCAGUGUCAUUAGCCGACCUUCAAUAUUAUAAAAAUAAUGUUUCUACUUGUUUUCUCCUUAAGCAAAUAUUAGUAGUACUAAUCAAGCAGCCAUGUUGGUUUCUUCUAAUUACCCAAAGAAAAAGCUGGUUUUCCGAAUCUCUCUUCUUGAGAGGCAGCUGUGGAAAUUGAAUUGUUUGUUCACAUCCAAUAAGUUAUCAUGUUGCAUUAGAGAUUAGCGAUGCAAUUUGAAAAAAAGUUUUGUUUUUCCUGUAAUGAAAAGAUUCCUUAUUUUAUAUGCAUCAAGGACCAGUCAACUCAUAUUAUACAUGCA
rnacentral:lncRNA from 1 species